rnacentral:misc_RNA from 1 species
GUGAAUCAUCAAAUUUUUGAACGCAAAUUGCGCCUUUUUCGGAAGGCAUGUCUGUUUGAGGGCACCAUUUAACAAAUAAUGUGCAUUUCUUUUGCACACGUGGAUGAGCUUUCCAAAAUUAUGUAUUAUUAUUUUUGGUUGCGUAUAAUUAACAGCGCUAUGCUUGUUUUCUGUUCGAGUGUAGUAAAAUUUUUUCUUGCUUUGUUUGUGAAAAGCGUGAUCUCGCAGUGAGUGUCGUGAU